rnacentral:tRNA from 1 species
AAAAGUUCUAAGGGUAU